AUAAAUUAAGAUUUGAGAGAGCUCAAACAAAUACUCGUCUACUACAAUAAUCUCUUCCAUCAUAUAAAUUUCAACAAUAUCUCUUUAAUUUGUCUACCAAAAAAUAACAUUUGAUUCAAAGAUGGCUUCUUCUUUUGUUUGGAAGAAACUCUUGUCCAUUGUUAGACUCAUCUUUCCUUCCAAAGCAAAUGCAAAGAGAUUGAGUUCCACAAAUGAUAAUAUCGAUGGUAUGAAGAAAAAGAAGUUUCUUCCUCGUCCAUUUGAUGAAGAAAGUUCUGCUGCUCCUCGCAAUGGGAACUAUUGAUUCUUAAAUUGUAUAUACAAUUUUCUCUUAUCAUUUUUAUUAUCAUGAAAUAAUUAUACCUGUUUUUUAAUUUUCAAUCUUUGAUUCUAAAGAUUAUAUAUAUAUAUAUAUACACCCAAUUCUAGCUCUAA